rnacentral:rRNA from 1 species
GUCGGNUCNCAAGGCUGAAAACUCANAAGGAANCGNACGGGGGCNCCGCACAANACGGNGGAGCAUGUGGUCUAAUUCNAANCAGACGCGCAGNACGCUUACUNGGGUUUGAACUGCACAGGAAAGUCUCAGAGAUGAGAGUCCCUCUUCGGAGGUCNGNGUAGAGNUGAUGCAUGGCUGUCGUCAGCUCGUGUCGUGAGAUGNUGGGUUAAGUCCCGCAAACGAGCGCAACCCUUAUUNAUAGUUACUAACGGGUAGAGCCGAGAACUCUAUGGAGACUGCCGGUGAUAAACCGGAGGAAGGUGGGGAUGACGUCAAGUCCUCAUGGCCUUUAUGUCCAGGGCUACACACGUGCUACAAUGGACGGUANCAGAGAGCUGCAAGACCGCCAAGGUGGAGCUAAUCUCGGAAAGCCGUUCUCAGUUCGGAUUGCAGUCUGCAACUCGACUGCAUGAAGUUGGAAUCGCUAGUAAUCGCGGAUCAGCACGCCGCGGUGAAUACGUUCCCGGGCCUUGUACACACCGCCCGUCACAUCACGAAAGUCGGUUGCACUAGAAGUCGGUGGGCUAACUCGCAAGAGAGGCAGCCGCCUAAAGUGUGAUCGGUAAUUGGGGUGAAGUCGUAACAAGGUACC